ACGGAAGGCAGCAGUGAGGAAUAUUGGUCAAUGGUCGGAAGACUGAACCAGCCAAGUAGCGUGAAGGAUGACUGCCCUAUGGGUUGUAAACUUCUUUUAUGCGGGAAUAAAAAGGAUUACGUGUAGUCUGUUGCGUGUACCGCAUGAAUAAGGAUCGGCUAAUUCCGUGCCAGCAGCCGCGGUAAUACGGAAGAUCCGAGCGUUAUCCGGAUUUAUUGGGUUUAAAGGGAGCGUAGGCGGGCCUUUAAGUCAGUGGUCAAAGCGUGUGGCUCAACCAUACCACGCCGUUGAUACUGGAGGCCUUGAGUGCACAUAAGGAUGGUGGAAUUCAUGGUGUAGCGGUGAAAUGCUUAGAUAUCAUGAAGAACUCCGAUUGCGAAGGCAGCUGUCCGGGGUGUAACUGACGCUAAUGCUCGAAAGUGCGGGUAUCAAACAGGAUUAGAUACCCUGGUA
rnacentral:rRNA from 1 species